rnacentral:lncRNA from 1 species
GGGCUAUCAAAUCAUAGCAUAUUUCUAUUGACUGGAUGUUCAAUUGAUCAUAGUUAUUAGCCAAUAAGGAAACUUUCACUGUCAAGACAUUUACAUUGUAGGUAUAGAAAAGAGUAAGCCGAUUGUGAAGUUACGGACCACCACUGGAGGAAAUUUCAUCACUAGAGGUAUCUUUCCAAAUGAAAAGACAAACACACAUAUAAACAUUAUUCGUUAGAAACAAUGCCCAGUUCGGCUGCAGAUCCAGGGGUCGGGAGUGUCCAAGGGUUUUGGACAAUAAAUAAAUGUAUUUGAAUGGGGACAUAUAGUUGUAACCCCACCUCCCUUUAUCCUGGGUUGAAGACCCCUUUUUAAAAUGGCUGGAUCUGCCCUUGAUGCCAGCCAGUCAGUUUCAGUCUUUUGUCAUCCCUUUACCUUCUUAUUUUUGCCUGUUUCAAUUAUACAAAUAUUCAAUUUUUUGUCUUCGUCUUUCAACAUGAUUUUCAAUUGCUUUGGGUUUGUAUUUAAUAUGAUGAGCAAAGCUAAGCAUGUUUCAAGUCACUCAUUAUUAAAGUUUUCUUGCACACACUUUUUUUGUAAUUUUUUUGGAUUAAUUUCUUUAUAGUCACAUUCUACUGUCAAACCAAAGAAAAUACAAAGAAAAAUCAAAACAAAACUUUGAUGAACCGAUGGAAAAAAAAUAGAAUCUCAUCCUGUGUUCUUGACUUUCAGACAAAG